GACGAACGCUGGCGGCGUGCUUAACACAUGCAAGUCGAACGGAAAGGCCCUGCUUUUGUGGGGUGCUCGAGUGGCGAACGGGUGAGUAACACGUGAGUAACCUGCCCUUGACUUUGGGAUAACUUCAGGAAACUGGGGCUAAUACCGGAUAGGAGCUCCUGCUGCAUGGUGGGGGUUGGAAAGUUUCGGCGGUUGGGGAUGGACUCGCGGCUUAUCAGCUUGUUGGUGGGGUAGUGGCUUACCAAGGCUUUGACGGGUAGCCGGCCUGAGAGGGUGACCGGCCACAUUGGGACUGAGAUACGGACCAGAAUCCUACGGGAGGCAGCAGUGGGGAAUAUUGCACAAUGGGCGGAAGCCUGAUGCAGAAACGCCGCGUGCGGGAUGACGGCCUUCGGGUUGUAAACCGCUUUCGCCUGUGACGAAGCGUGAGUGACGGUAAUGGGUAAAGAAGCACCGGCUAACUACGUG
rnacentral:rRNA from 1 species